rnacentral:rRNA from 1 species
UGACACGUAGGCACCAAGCGUUGUCCGGAUUUAUUGGGCGUAAAGAGCUCGUAGGCGGUUCGGUAAGUCGGGUGUGAAAACUUUGGGCUCAACCCAAAGCGUGCAUUCGAUACUGCCGUGACUAGAGUUCGGUAGGGGAGUGGGGAAUUCCUAGUGUAGCGGUGAAAUGCGCAGAUAUUAGGAGGAACACCGGUGGCGAAGGCGCCACUCUGGGCCGAAACUGACGCUGAGGAGCGAAAGCGUGGGUAGCAAACAGG